UCCUGGUACCGUAUAAAAGGUGUAAACAUUAGAAUGCAGUUCUUCUAGUAAUGUGGUUUCAUCCCACUCCCCAACACCUGAGUCUGAAAGUGUUUCGUACAGAGAGGAAGUGAGAGGCUCUAGGUGGUGAAGGUGUCCUCCGCAGACCUCAGCUCCUCUCUCAGUGCCUCGGCGCCUACCCGCAUAGAAGGAAGCCUCUGUUUGUCUCCGUCUCUGCUCAAGGGUGCCAAGAUGGGCCAGACCAGCCUCAUCCUCCUGCUCCUCCUGCUCCUCCUGCUCCAGCUCCUCCGGCUCACUGCUGGGGCUGGCUGUCAAGAUAUUGAUGUAGAAAAGAUCAAGCUCAACAUCAGUGAGACUGACCAAUGUACACUUCUGAGGUGGAGUAGACCAGAUCAAGCGGUUACAUCUAAAUGCUACGACACCCACAUACAGCACAGGGGCGGUUGCCAUGAAAACUGGACAGAUACCAUUAAGACAAAAACAAAGGACUUCACUCUAUGUGUACCAAGCCAAGCCAAGCCAAGAAGCUACGGGUUUAGAGUGAGAAUGAAAUGUGCAUGCCAGUGGAAAGAGUGGAGUGGUUGGACACGUGAGAUGUGGAAAAAUGAAACAAAUCCAGUCCCCUGUCACCUUGUGCCCAUGCCACAGGCUACAGGCACAGCCUUCUAUCAUGUUUUAUGGACUUUAACUUCUGUGAUAGCCAUCCUGCUUUUCUGCUUGUUAACACAAAAAUGGCAAGUAUCUUUUUCAUCUUCUUGUUCGAAGUGUGGGGUGGCAGUAGCAUAAUAACUCAUUGCUAUAAAAUAGGAUAUUAAAAAUAUUUGGCUGUGAGGCAUUGGAACAAUGCGUAGAAUUUGUCUUUUCAGGAUCAGGAAUAAUAUUCUCCAAAUCAUUCCAGACCCAAAGCAUGUACAACAGAAUAUGUUGAACGUCAGUCAUUCGGCGGUAAGGAAAUCAUCUCAAUAUCAAUUCCAAUAUCAAUAUCAACAUCAAACAUCACUCAGAUCUUAAGCGGUCGCUCAGCUCUUCUAUCUGACUCUCGGUCUUCUUUAUCCCACUGUAGUGGUGGGACAGGCAGGCUUCCUUAAAAGGGGACUGUGUGGCCAUCGAGGUGGAGGAGGUCGCUCUGGAAAACAAGAUAAACCGAGAGGAAAAGAAUGAAGAGGAAGAGGAGGAGGAGGAAAGGGAAGAAGAAAAAGAGGUUGAGGCGGAGCAAACGGUGAAGAUGAUGACUGAGGAAGAUUACGGAGACAUGCACGGAGAGGAGGGGGGCUCCCCUGCGCCAACUCAGGCACACCCUGGCUUCAGCUGCGGCGGUGCCUACAUCCACCAGGCAUCCGAAGCAUGGCCCAGUCAGACCUGAACACCUCAAUAACAGCCAGGGCCGUUGAGGCUGAUGAGUCACCGUAGAUAAGGAGAGAUGACACACACAAGUGUAGAAAAACAAACCCCUUUUUAAGUUUGAAAGCAACAGUUUGGAGUUUUUGUCUAAGACUAGUAGCUAACUAGCUAAAAGCCAAAGACUUGCCUUGCAAACACCAAAAAUGGCACUGUUGGUGCAUUUGCUGCCAUGCUGCAGACUUGCAAACUCACAAAACUGCACAGGGAAUGGCCUGGGUGGCUAGUGGGUAUGACAGUCGUAUUCAAUUCUCCUUCACAUGACAACAAGUCAACACAAAAACGUACAUGCCUGAAAAAGCAACAAAAUCUGCAUACUGCUGCUUUAAGUUAAAGAUUCGUAUGACUUUUUCACUCACGGCUAAAAGAAAGUACUGUACAGUUUCAUUGCCAUAGAGCUGACACAUAAAGUGGGUUUCAUAGAACAACUUUUUCAAAUAAUCAAAGGGUACAGAGUAGAAACUCAAAAGUUUCAGUUUUUUUUUGUUGAUUAAAAUGCAUUAUUGUGACUUUUGCAUUUAGUCACUUAGGUGUUUUGUUUUGUUUUCUCUUUUUCAUCCUGCCUUUUGAUUAUAAACAAAGUGGUGUGCGGUACAGUGAAAGAAUGCAUUUGUGUAUGCUUGUUUGCUCCAACUUAAGUAUGAUAAUCUAUAAUAAAUCAAUAAUGAGU
ensembl:lncRNA